rnacentral:rRNA from 1 species
UACAGAGGGGGCAAGCGUUAUUCGGAAUUAUUGGGCGUAAAGGGCGCGUAGGCGGCCUGGCAAGUGGAUGGUGAAAUCCCUCGGCUUAACCGAGGAACUGCCAUCCAGACUGCUUGGCUUGAGACCGGGAGAGGUGAGUGGAAUUCCCAGUGUAGCGGUGAAAUGCGUAGAUAUUGGGAGGAACACCAGUGGCGAAGGCGGCUCACUGGACCGGUACUGACGCUGAUGCGCGAAAGCGUGGGGAGCAACGGG